rnacentral:rRNA from 1 species
UACGUAGGGUGCAAGCGUUAAUCGGAAUUACUGGGCGUAAAGCGUGCGCAGGCGGUUCUCUAAGUCCGAUGUGAAAUCCCCGGGCUUAACCUGGGAACUGCAUUGGUGACUGGCGGGCUAGAGUAUGGCAGAGGGGGGUAGAAUUCCACGUGUAGCAGUGAAAUGCGUAGAGAUGUGGAGGAAUACCGAUGGCGAAGGCAGCCCCCUGGGCCAAUACUGACGCUCAUGCACGAAAGCGUGGGGAGCAAACAGG